GGAAACUUUCAUGGAGGGAGAAGAACAAAAAUAAAAACCUAACCCUCACUUCAACUUUAAAUCCACGUAACUUUUGAUCCGGAGCUCCGAUUGACGAUCCGUUUGCAGUCACGCGACCGCGGCGUUAAGCUCUACAAAGCCCAUAAUAUUGUAAGGAUCGAAUUAACUUGGUGGACUUGGCGAGUCUUGUCCUAAUUUUUUGUUGAUAAGGUGUGUAUGUAUGUAUGAUAUGAAGUCCUUGGAGCCAUUGGAAGCUUGAUUGAGAUCUUGGUUGGUGAUAGAGCUGAUUUUCGGUGUUGAGGGUUUGCCCUUGUCUAAGUGGGUUGUCUUGAAAAAUAUGUGGAAAUCGGUCAAGAUGCAGGUCGAGCGGCACCUCGGUAGGCGUCUGAAGCUUCUGCGGCAAAGUGGUUUACUUUGGGAUCUCCUUUUAUUCUUUGAUGUGUAUAUAUAUAUAUAGUUUCUCCACUUGUAUAUAAGAACACCAAUGUCUGCGUUAGCUACCAUAUGUGUCGCGUUCUGGAAAAGUAACCGACACGUGAGCUCACGGCCAGUAGGAUAGACAUUCAUCAUAUGCAUAUGUGUGCUUUGUUUGCUAUGCCUUAAUUGGGAAUGCCUAAUUGAUUAUAUUCUGCUAAUUGUUGUAAUUGUUACUUGAACCACUUGUUUUCUACCUAUGUUUGCCUUGUCUAUUUGUUUUGUCUAUGCGAAUCAUUGGAGAUGGAGGUACGGAGGAAAGAUGGAUAGGUUUAGAGUUAAGGUUAAAGGUUAAGCUAGGUUUAGAAUUCCCUAGAAGACCACCCUUUUUAUAAUUUCUAUUUAGUAAUUUAAGCUUUAAAAUUUGAGAGUCGGCAUUCUAUGAUUGCCUCUGGCAUUCCCAAGACCUUAUAUAUUAUAUGCGUGGCACCUUUACCAUGCUGAGAACCCCCGGUUCUCAUCCCAUACGGUGUUGUUGUUUUCAGAUGCAGGUUGAGCGGCACCUCGGUAGGCGUUUGAAGCUUCUGCAGCAAAGUGGUUUACUUUGGGAUCUCCUUUUAUUCUUUGAUGUGUAUAUAUAUAUAUAUUUUCUCCACUUGUAUAUAAGAACACCAAUGUCUGCGUUAGCUACCAGAUGUGUCGCGUUCUGGAAAAGUAACCGACACGUGAGCUCACGGCCAGUAGGAUAGACAUUCAUCAUAUGCAUAUGUGUGCUUUGUUUGCUAUGCCUUAAUUGGGAAUGCCUAAUUGAUUAUAUUCUGCUAAUUGUUGUAAUUGUUACUUGAACCACUUGUUUUCUACCUAUGUUUGCCUUGUCUAUUUGUUUUGUCUAUGCGAAUCAUUGGAGAUGGAGGUACGGAGGAAAGAUGGAUAGGUUUAGAGUUAAGGUUAAAGGUUAAGCUAGGUUUAGAAUUCCCUAGAAGACCACCCUUUUUAUGAUUUCUAUUUAGUAAUUUAAGCUUUAAAAUUUGAGAGUCGGCAUUCUAUGAUUGCCUCUGGCAUUCCCAAGACCUUAUAUAUUAUAUGCGUGGCACCUUUACCAUGCUGAGAACCCCCGGUUCUCAUCCCAUACGGUGUUGUUGUUUUCAGAUGCAGGUCGAGCGGCACCUCAAUAGGCGUCUGAAGUUUCUGCGGCAAAGUGGUUUACUUUGGGAUCUCCUUUUAUUCUUUGAUGUGUAUAUAUAUAUAUAGUUUCUCCACUUGUAUAUAAGAACACCAAUGUCUGCGUUAGCUACCCGAUGUGUCGCGUUCUGGAAAAGUAACCGACACGUGAGCUCACGGCUAGUAGGAUAGACAUUCAUCAUAUGUAUAUGUGUGCUUUGUUUGCUAUGCCUUAAUUGGGAAUGCCUAAUUGAUUAUAUUCUGCUAAUUGUUGUAAUUGUUACUUGAACCACUUGUUUUCUAUCUAUGUUUACUUUGUCUAUUUGUUUUGUCUAUGCGAAUCAUUGGAGAUGGAGGUACGGAGGAAAGGUGGAUAGGUUUAGAGUUAAGGUUAAAGGUUAAGCUAGGUUUAGAAUUCCCUAGAAGACCACCCUUUUUAUGAUUUCUAUUUAGUAAUUUAAGCUUUAAAAUUUGAGAGUCGGCAUUCUAUGAUUGCCUCUGGCAUUUCCAAGACCUUAUAUAUUAUAUGCAUGGCACCUUUACCGUGCUGAGAACCGCCGGUUCUCAUCCCAUACGGUGUUGUUGU